rnacentral:rRNA from 1 species
GACGAACGCUGGCGGCGUGCUUAACACAUGCAAGUCGAACGGAAAGGCCUGCUUUCCCUUGUGGAUUGCGGGUACUCGAGUGGCGAACGGGUGAGUAACACGUGAGUGAUCUGCCCCCAACUUGGGUAUAAGCCUGGGAAACUGGGUCUAAUUCCCGAUAGGACUGCAGGGUGGUGCCUGUGGUGGAAAACGAUUUUCUAGUGGUUGGGGAUGAGCUCGCGGCCUAUCAGCUUGUUGGUGGGGUAAUGGCCUACCAAGGCGGCGACGGGUAGCCGGCCUGAGAGGGUGGACGGCCACAUUGGGACUGAGAUACGGCCCAGACUCCUACGGGAGGCAGCAGUGGGGAAUAUUGCACAAUGGGCGGAAGCCUGAUGCAGCGAGGCCGCGUGGGGGAUGACGGCCUUCGGGUUGUAAACUCCUUUCGACCGCGAGGAAGCCACCUGGUUGGAAGGGUGGUGACGGUAGUGGUAGAAGAAGCACCGGCUAACUACGUG